UAUAAUUAAGUUUGUAAUUUUUGAUUUUAUGGUUAAUUAACCAAAAGCGCAUGCGUAGUAUGUACAGUAAGGUUUUUGAUCUUUUCACAAAUGUAAUUUUGACAUUGUUAGAAAAAGGUCUGUAGUAUCUAUCUAUCUCUCCAGGUUCAUAAUACGGCCUCUCAAUUGUGUUGAAAAUGGCAGCCAUAUGUGCGUUCAAAAUUUAAAUCACUGUCAAACUUGUAUCUGUUGUUUGCCCUGUCCUCUGACGUGCUGGAAACGGCUAGCAAUAUGUGCGCAUGAAAUUCAAAUCACUGUCAAAAUAAUUUUAAAUAUUUAAUUAAUAAAAUUGAAAUGAAAUAAUAUUUAAAAAAAUGUUUUAGAAAUACAAAUGAGUACAAAAUUAUACAAAUGAGUACUUUCAGAGUACAGGAUUUGAAAAAAGUCGGUUUGUGAAAAAAGAGUAAAAAAACUCAGUAAAUGAGAAUAGCAGGUCACCUUAAUUGUCUACAUAGUUUUUUGGUAGAUUUCAAAGUUCUUGCAAAAGAUGGUUUUAUCUAUGAAAAUAUUGAGUUUAAAAUCAAUCUUGCUGUUAUCAUAUGUGAUGCACCAGCUAUUUUGUAAAGAUAGAGCAUUUGUAAAGGGCGCAAUGGUUAUAACUGAUGUGAAUGUUGUGCUUAGAAAGGAGAGUGGUGUGGCAAGAUAAUUCUCCUACAUAUUUCACUAAUUUUAAGCACUGAUUCAGAUUUUUUGUCAUUAAAAGCAUUCUGAACAUCUUAGUGGUGUGUUAAAUUGAAUUAAAUUUUGAUAUGGUGACAAAGUUUCCUUUAGACUUAAUGCUUAGGGGUAAUGCGAAGAUUUCUCAACUUAUGGUUAAAUUGCCCAAAUGUUGUAAAUUGUCUCAGAUUACAGUCAAUACUUUAUCUGGCGGAUUGUUCCAGAUACGUCAUUACAUUCCAAGAAAUUUUUGUAGAAAAUUAAGGUCUUAAUUAGAUAUUAAAAAAUGGAAAACAACUGAGCUUAGACUAUUUAUAGUAAACACUUGACCAGUUGUUUAAAGGGAAUGGUUUAGCCAAAAAUGUAUUCAAUUUUUUAGAUUUUUCAGUUGUAGUUCUACUUUCAUAAUGUUUCAUUUUGUUGAAAAAAUAUGUUAAUUUUGCUUUUCAGCUACUUAUUUUUAUAUGUGAACUUUAUCAUAAGGAUCAACUAGUGUACAAUGUCCAUUCAUUAGCACAUAUAGGAAAUAAUACAGUUAAAUUUUAGGUACUUGAUAGAUGUCCCUCUUUCAAAUACAAAACUUUUUCAGGUCAAUUAAAAAUGUUUGUCUAGGGGGCUCAUUUGCAAAUUUAGGGGCCCUUUUACAAAUGUAAGGACUUUUUUUUUGUUUAGGAUUUUCAUUUAGAUUUUGUUUAUCUAUUAUAAAGUUUUUAGGAAUUUUGGGGCCCUUAUGACAGGUUUUUAUUUGAAAUGGGGGGCUUGUAUCUAGUAGCCAUGGCACUGUAUAUAAAGUAUAUACAAUAUAUAUCAAAUUAUAUACAAUAUAAAUAAAAAUAUAUAUUUGUUUAAUAAUUUUAUAUAAUUUAUUUAUCAGUAACUAAAGGAAUGUUAUCAAUUUAUUAUAUGAAUCAUAAGCAUGUGCUUAUCUAUUACAAGUACCUUUGAUGGUGAAAAUUACAUUUUUUGUUUGAAGAGAAUUGGGAGAAAUGUUCAUAUUGAAACGAGAUAUUGUGUAAAGAGGUUUUCAAAGAAGUCGUUUUAACAACAAUGGAAAAGCUUCCGAUUCCCGAGAUAAACGUGAAAGCAUUUGAUACAUGAUUAAAGAAUCGUUCAAAAGUUUG
rnacentral:lncRNA from 1 species